ensembl:lncRNA
UGAAUUCACCACAGAAAAGACUUGCUGUGACAAAUAAGAAAGAAUUCACCUCAAGAACCUUUGGAUUAUUUAUGCAGCAGCUUGAUCAAGCAGAGAUCCUAAACACGAGGUAAACCUGAACAAUCCUUCCAACAGGCUGAAGGGAACACGGCUAGAAGCUCAGAAUCAUUGUAUGUCACUUGUGGAAGUGAAGAGUCCUGCCACCCCAUCAACAGGAUGUUGGGGGUGACUGGAUCGGGUCUGCGAUGUCUGAAGAUGUUUAAUCAAGGGGUUUAGCAUUAAGGAUUCCCUCAAUUUCAAUAAAAACAGUUUGCAGUACUCAUUCAGUGACUGUCUGUGCUCUGAGGGUCACUUGCUGGGCUGUUUUCAGAUAUCAAAUCUCCCACUCCCAACAUCCACCAAAAUGUGGGGCAUUAGGUGGGU